AGAGUUUGAUCCUGGCUCAGGAUGAACGCCGGCGGUGUGCCUAAUACAUGCAAGUCGUACGCACUGGCCCAACUGAUUGAUGGUGCUUGCACCUGAUUGACGAUGGAUCACCAGUGAGUGGCGGACGGGUGAGUAACACGUAGGUAACCUGCCUCGGAGCGGGGGAUAACAUUUGGAAACAGAUGCUAAUACCGCAUAACAACAAAAGCCACAUGGCUUUUGUUUGAAAGAUGGCUUUGGCUAUCACUCUGGGAUGGACCUGCGGUGCAUUAGCUAGUUGGUAAGGUAACGGCUUACCAAGGCAAUGAUGCAUAGCCGAGUUGAGAGGCUGAUCGGCCACAAUGGAACUGAGACACGGUCCAUACUCCUACGGGAGGCAGCAGUAGGGAAUCUUCCACAAUGGGCGCAAGCCUGAUGGAGCAACACCGCGUGAGUGAAGAAGGGUUUCGGCUCGUAAAGCUCUGUUGUUGGAGAAGAACGUGCGUGAGAGUAACUGUUCACGCAGUGACGGUAUCCAACCAGAAAGUCACGGCUAACUACGUGCCAGCAGCCGCGGUAAUACGUAGGUGGCAAGCGUUAUCCGGAUUUAUUGGGCGUAAAGCGAGCGCAGGCGGUUGCUUAGGUCUGAUGUGAAAGCCUUCGGCUUAACCGAAGAAGUGCAUCGGAAACCGGGCGACUUGAGUGCAGAAGAGGACAGUGGAACCCCAUGUGUAGCGGUGGAAUGCGUAGAUAUAUGGAAGAACACCAGUGGCGAAGGCGGCUGUCUGGUCUGCAACUGACGCUGAGGCUCGAAAGCAUGGGUAGCGAACAGGAUUAGAUACCCUGGUAGUCCAUGCCGUAAACGAUGAGUGC
rnacentral:rRNA from 1 species